GAAGAGGUGGCUCAGUGGUUAAGAGCACUGACUUGCAGAGGACCAGGGUUCAAUUCCCAGCACCUACA
rnacentral:tRNA from 1 species